GGCCGCGGGGACCCCUGCCUCCGCCUGUGGGCGCGGUGGAGCCGGUGAGGGGGCGCUCGUGCGAGGGCUCGGCGGGCGGCGCGGGGCCCGCGGGGCCGUGGAGCGGCUGACGCGGGUGCUGGGUCCUCGCUGGGCCCGGCUCGGGGCCGCUCCGCCGACCUGCCGCCGCCGCCGGGGCCGGGGCCCCAGGCGGAGGGGCCGGGGCCGCGCAGGCGGGGAGGCCGGCGGACGUCUUGCCGCGUGUGGAGGUUUUCGGCGGCGGCCUCGAGGGCGAGGGCCGGGCGAGCAGAGGGUGAGGCGGGACCCGCGGCGGGGCGACGGGGGAGAGGCCGCCGGAGGCCGCGCCUUCGGAAUGAAAAGUGUUCAUGUGUGUAGACUCUCUCUUUUUCUUGAUAAGUCUGGCUAGGGGUUUACUAUUUUAUUUAUUUUCUCGAAGAACCAGCUCCUGCUUUCAUUCUCUCUAUUGUUCUAUUCUCUAUUUUAUUUAUUUCUGCUCUAAACAUUAUUAUGUCCCUCCUUCUCCUGACUUUGGGCCUCACUUUUUCUUCUUUGUCUAGUUUGGUUAAUUGUGAGUUUACACUGUUCAUAUAGGAUUGUUGUUCUUCCCUGAGGUAGGCCUGUGGUGCAAUAUGCUUCCUUCUUACCACCGCCUUCGCUGAGUCCCACAGAUUUUUGCCUUGUUGAAUUAUUGUUGUUAUUUGUUUCCAUGUAUUGCUUGAUCUCUGUUUUUAUUUGGUCAUUGAUCUACUGGUUAUUUAGGAGCAUGUUGUUAAGCCUCCAUGUGAUUGUAGGCCAUUUCGUCGUCUUUGUGUAAUUUAUUUCUAGUUUCAUACCCUUGUGGUCUGAGAAGCUGGUUGGUACAAUUUAAAUCUUUUCAAAUUUUCUGAGGCUCUUUUUGUGGCCUAGUAUAUGUUCUAUUCUUGAAAAUGUUCCGUGUGCACUUGAGAAGAAUGUGUAUCCUGGUGCUUUUGAGUGGAGAGUUCUGUAGAUGUCUAAGGUCCAGCUGUUCUAAUGUGUUGUUCAAUGCCUCUGUGUCCUUACUUAUUUUCUGUCUGGUUGAUCUGUUCUUUGGAGUGAGUGGAGUGUUGAAGUCUCCUAAAAUGAAUGCAUGACAUUCUAUUUCCCCUUUGAAUUCUGUUAGUAUUUGUCUCACAUAUGUAGGUGCUCCUGUGUUGGGUGCAUAGAUAUUUAUAGUGGUCAUAUCCUCUCGUUGGAUUGACCCCUUUAUCUUAUGUAAUGUCCUUCUUUAUCUCUUGUGACUUUCUUUUUUUGAAGUCUAUUUUGUCAGAUAGUAGUACUGCAACACCUGCUUUUUUCUCCCUGUUGUUUGCAUGAAGUAUCUUUUUCCAUCCCUUUACUUGUAGUCUGUGCAUGUCUUCGGGUUUGAGGUGAGUCUCUUGUAAGCAGCAUGUAGAUGGGUCUUGCUGUUUUAUCCAUUCUGUUACUCUGUGUCUUCUGGUUGGUGCAUUCAGUCCAUUUACAAUUAGGGUGAUUAUCAAAAGAUACGUGCUUAUUGCCGUUGCAGGCUUUCGAUUCGUGGUUACCAAAGGUUCAAGGGUAGCUUCUUUACUAUCUGACUGUCUAACUUAACUCUUGUUACUAUCUGACUGUCUAACUUAACUCUUGUAUUAGGCUAUUAUAAACACAGUCUGAUGAUUCUUUAUUUCUCUCCCUUCUUAUUCUUCCUCCAUUCUUUAUAUGGUAGGUGUUCUAUUCUGUACUCCUUUGUGUUUCCUUUGACUGCUUUUGUGGAUUGUUGAUUUUAUUUUUUUGCCUUUAGUAAGUAUUUGGUUGGUUUGCUUUCUUUGCUGUGAUUUUAUUUUCUCUGGUGACACCUAUUUAGCCUUAGGAGUGCUUCCAUCUAGAGCAAUCCCUUUAAAAUAUCCUGUAGAGGUGGUUUGUGGGAGGCAAAUUUCCUCACUUUUGCCUGUCUGAGAAUUGUUUAUUCCCUCCUUCAAAUUUAAAUGACAGUCAUGCUGGAUACAGUAUUCUUGGGUCAAGGCCCUUCUCUUUCUUUGCAUUAAAUAUAUCAUGCCAUUCUCUUCUGGCCUGUAAGGUUUCUGCUGAGAAGUCUGAUGAUAGCCUGAUGGGUUUUCCUUUGUAUGUGGUCUCAUUUCUCUCUCUGGCUGCUUUUAAAAGUCUGUCCUUAUCCUUGAUCUUUGCCAUUUUAAUUAUUAUAUGUCUUGGUGGUGUCCUCCUUGGGUCCCUUGUGUUUGCAGAUCUGUGCACCUCCAUGGCCUGAGAAACUAUCUCCUUCCCCAUAUUGGGGAAGUGUUCAGCAAUUACUUCCUCAAAGACACUUUCUAUCCCUUUCUCUCUCUCCUUCUUCUGGCACUCCUGUAAUAUGAAUAUUGUUCUGUUUGGAUUGGUCACACAGUUCUCUCAGUAUUCUUUCAUUCCUAGAGAUCCUUUUUUCUCUCUGUGCCUCAUCUUGUUUGUAUUCCUCUUCCCUAGUUUCUGUUUUCAUUUGUCGUCUCCUCCACCGAAUCUAAUCUGCUUUUAAUACCCUACAGUGUGCUCUUCAAUGAUUAGAUCUCCUUCCUAAAUUCUUUCCCGAGUUCUUGAAUAUUUUUCUGUACCUCCAUGAGCAUGUUUAUAGUUUUUAUUUUGAAAUCUCUUUCAGGAAGAUUUAUUAAUUCAGCCUCAGUCCUUUCUCUGGUGCUGAGAUUUUGCUUUGAACCAGGUUCCUUUGACGUUAUAUAUUUGUAUGUGGCGCCCUCUAGUGCCCAGAACCUCUUCUCUCUGGAGCUGCUCACCCAGUGGAGGGAUGUCCUGGGUCUCAGGGGGAGUGGUGCUGGUGCCCUGUUCCGUGAGAUCCGCUGCUUUCUCCAGGUAUAUGCAGUCUGCUGCAGCCUUGUUUCCCGGUGCUCUUUCAGGACUAGUUGUGUUAAUUAUAUUUUCACAUUAUAUGUGGUUUUGGAGGGGAUCUCUGUCUCACGUCUCACACCGCCGUCUUUAAUCCAGUCUCAGUUUUGAUGCUCCGCCUAGAACUUGGAGUUAUGACUUGUCAAAUCUGGAUGGCUCUGUUGGUUGCAGUUAAUUUACUGUCAGGAGAGGAGCUACUAUGGUAUCUGGGAUUUACCUCUCCGCAUCAGAGUGAAGAAGUAGUAAGAUUCUUAACUUAUUCUUUAGCAGAUAGACAAUAACUCAGCCCACCUUGCGAACUGGGCGGGCAGCCUUGAAUGAUAUGCUCCCUGACCAAGACGCCGGUAUCCCAGGGAGAAACCAGAGCACUAAAUUUCGUGUGUUAAGUUGAUUUUAAAUAUUCAGGGACCCCUUAACAAGUCCACACCGUUAAGCCUUUAUAGGGUCCCCCCAAAUCCUCAACUGCCUAUAAAAAUCCCUAGGCAACGCACAACUAUGGGCUCUCUUGACCCCUCCUGGCGCCGCGAGCCAGGAGAUCUGUCCUGUCACUGUAUCUCUCACUAAAAGCGUCUCCUACGUUGGCUUGGGUGUUCUCUAAGUUCACUCUUCCCCUCCGCAGACAAGAAAAACCCCAGCAUCAUUUUGGGUGGCUCGUCCGGGAUAAUGUGGGAGGUGAGUUAUCAGCAUCGAAGCCUGCCUUUUCUUUCACUGUCUUUAUAGAAGCCGUCGGUGGCACACAACAUCGGACGCCCGUGAGCCACUUAAGUGGAACUAGCCCGGUUGCAUUUUACUAGAAAGUUGUCCAUUUCUUCUAGGUUAUCCAGUGUGUUAGCAUAUGAUUUUUCAUGGUAUUCUCUCAUAAUUCUUUUUAUUUCUGUGGUUUCUGUAGUGAUUUUUCCUUUUUCAUUUCUGAUUCUGUUUAUGUGUGCAGGCUCUCUUUUUUUCUUGAAGAGUCUGGCUAGAGGUUUAUCCAUUUUGUAUGUUUUCUCGAAGAAUCAGCUCCUGCUUUCAUGGAUUCUUUGUAUUGUUUCAUUCUUCUCGGUUUUAUUUAUUUCUGCUCCAAUCUUUAUUACGUUCCUCCUCCUGCUGACUUUGGGCCUCAUUUGUUCUUCUUUUUCUAGUUGUGGUAGUUGUGAGUUUAGACUGUUCAUAUGGGAUUGUUCUUCUUUCCUGAGGUAGGCCUGUAUUGCAGUGUACUUCCCUCUCAGCACCGCCCUUUCUCUGUCCCACGGAUUUUGUGUUGUUCAGUUAUUGCUGUCAUUUGUCUCCAUAUAUUGCUGGAUCUCUGUUUUUAUUCGGUCAUUGAUCCGUUGGUUAUUCAGGAGCAUGUUGUUAAGCCUCCAUGCGGUGGUGGGCUUUUUCGUUUUAUUUGCGUAAAUUAUUUCUAGUUUCAUACCCUUGUGGUGUGAGAAGCUGCGUCGUUUUUGGGGGCUCGUCCGGGAUAACUUCGGAGGAAGAGAACAAAGAGCAUUUUCCUGACCAAUACUUACACACUGGCAGCUUGGGGAUCAAGUGAUGAAGCCCCAUGUGCAGCAGUAACGGCAAUCUGAGCCACUCUGAUUACGGUGACCAUCAUGCACUGGCAUCUCCAAGAUUCAUCUGUUUUCCGAGUAGGCCAAAUGAGUGACUUCAACAAGGGUAUGUGGAGAUCACCACCCCGACAUCUUCCAAGUCCUUGGUGGCGACACCGGUUUCUGUACUCUCUCCUGGAAGGCGUUACUGCUUUCAGUGUGUACUUUAGAUGGAAUCCUAGAGGCUUGUGCUCGAGCUACCAUACAGCACGAAUUCCUUGCCGGCACAGUCCCCUGUGGCUAGCGAGGAGGAAGGCAGGAGCUCUGCGUUCCUCCAGGGCAGCUCGGCCUUGGGCCCUGACACCGAGGGAGCGGCAGUGCGGGCACUUGGUCGGGGGACCGCUCCUGGUACCGAAACCCAGUCCUUGUCCCUGAGGUCAAAUCACAAAAGACAGUGACAAGGUUUUGAGGAAAGGAAAGAAUAGUUUAUUGAUUUGCUAGCAAACGAGGGAGCGGCAGGCUCCUGCCUUGCAGAACCACCGUCCUCCGGACACACAAGCGGUCAGGGCUUUUCGAGGGGAAAUCGUGGGAGAGGGGCUGGGGUGCAGACACAUGAAGCAGCAGCUUGCAAGGGUCCAAGCAGACAUUCCUGCGCCGAUUCACUAGCUUUGUGUUUUUCUUUUCUGCUCCUCCUCAGUCCCCUGGGACAGGAUGCUUUUUUGAGUCCCCUGUUUAGUGAACUUUACUGGCCUUAAUUGUCUCUCAUCCCGCUCAUAUCUAUUUUUCUGCCUAACACUCCCAAGACUGACCAGCCUCUCGGUAAACAUCCCAUAGACAUGCAAACAGGCACUUCAGGUCUACAAUGGGUGACACCCGGGCAAGGAUCCUGGCUGUAAUUUCCAUUUUCUCCACACCAUCCUGGUCCUUUUAACAAAAAGAGAGAGGUCCUGGUUCAGCCCUGAGUAAACAUAGCUACUUGACUGGUGGUGGGAGGAAGAAUUUCUUCAGUUCCUCGAGGUUCCCUUAGCUGGUCUAAGAAACAAAUUGACAUGAGACAGAUGAACAGGAGAAAAAGUAACAAAAUUUAAUUAAGUACAUAAAGGGAAGCCAUAGACGCGUGUUCCACAGACAGGGUGUGGAAUUGCAAUAUUUCCAGAAUCUCUUGACCUGGCUUUAGUGCUUCUCCGUAUCAACAGGUGUUUCCAAGGGGUGGAGAGAAGUAGUCCGUCUCCACGUCAGUGGGUAAUUACGUGGGCGAGGGAGGGUUUAUCUGGACCAGAGAGCUUGGUGGGAGUAUUCGCUCUCUUCUACUGCAGCAGGAGAGAGAGAUGCAGGGCGACUGCUGGUAGGCAAUAAAUGACCUUUAAACAUUA